rnacentral:rRNA from 1 species
GUAGUUAGCCGGGGCUUCCUCCUUGGCUACCGUCACUUUCUUCGUCACCAAGGACAGAGGUUUACAACCCGAAAGCCUUCUUCCCUCACGCGGCGUUGCUGGGUCAGGCUUGCGCCCAUUGCCCAAUAUUCCCCACUGCUGCCUCCCGUAGGAGUCUGGACCGUGUCUCAGUUCCAGUGUGGCCGAUCAGCCUCUCAGCUCGGCUACCCAUCGUUGGCUUGGUGGGCCGUUACCUCACCAACUACCUAAUGGGACGCGAACCCCUCUUAAAGCGGAUUGCUCCUUUGACCUCAUCCCGAUGCCGGGUCGUGGUCUUAUGCGGUAUUAGCACUUGUUUCCAGGUGUUAUCCCCCUCUUUAAGGCAGGUUGUUCACGCGUUACUCACCCGUCCGCCACUUUCCGCAACUUCCAUUGGACGAAUCCUCUUUCCGUUGCUUCUCGUUCGACUUGCAUGUGUUAGGCACGCCGCCACGCGUUCGUCCUCGAGCACUGAUACAACUACUGA